CAGUAGCCGCGGGAAUACGUAGGGUGCAAGCGUUAAUCGGAAUUACUGGGCGUAAAGCGUGCGCAGGCGGUUUGUUAAGACAGAUGUGAAAUCCCCGGGCUUAACCUGGGAACUGCAUUUGUGACUGGCAAGCUAGAGUCUGGCAGAGGGGGGUGGAAUUCCGCGUGUAGCAGUGAAAUGCGUAGAUAUGCGGAGGAACACCGAUGGCGAAGGCAGCCCCCUGGGCCAACACUGACGCUCACGCACGAAAGCGUGGGGAGCAAACGGGAUUAGAUACCCCGGUAGUCCCUGUCUCUUAUAC
rnacentral:rRNA from 1 species